rnacentral:rRNA from 1 species
CAAGUACAAAGAGAAGCAAGACCGUGAGGUGGAGCAAAACUCAAAAACUUGUCUCAGUUCGGAUUGUAGGCUGAAACUCGCCUACAUGAAGCUGGAGUUGCUAGUAAUCGCGAAUCAGCAUGUCGCGGUGAAUACGUUCCCGGGCCUUGUACACACCGCCCGUCACACCAUGAGAGUCGGGAACACCCGAAGUCCGUAGCCUAACCGCAAGGGGGGCGCGGCCGAAGGUGGGUUCGAUAAUUGGGGUGAAGUCGUAACAAGGUAUC